rnacentral:rRNA from 1 species
GUCUUUUUGAUAAUAAUUUAAAGUCUGGCCUGCCCUAUGAUAUUUUAAUAUUAAAUGGCCGCGAUAAUUUGAUCGUGCAAAGGUAGCAUAAUAAUUAGUUUUUUAAUUGGGAACUGGAAUGAAAGGUCGAACGAGAAAAAGACUGUCUCAAUUUAAAUUUAUUUAGAAUUUUAUUUUUAAGUGAAAAAGCUUAAAUAAUUUUAAAAGACGAGAAGACCCUAUAGAGUUUUAUAUUUAUUAAUUUAUUUUUUAGUUUUAGGAUAUAAUUUUAAAAUUUAUUUAUAAAUAUUUGGUUGGGGUGAUUAAAAAAUUUAAUAAACUUUUUUUUUUGUUAUAACAUAAAUUAAUGAUUGAUUGAUCCAUAUAUAAUGAUUAAAAGAUUAAAUUACCUUAGGGAUAACAGCGUAAUUUUUUUUAAGAGUUCUUAUCGAAAAAAAAGUUU